ensembl:snoRNA SNORD83 Small nucleolar RNA SNORD83
GCCAAAUGAUGUUUAUAUUUUGGGAAGUGAGCACUUUGCGCAAUGAUGACCUUAAUCUAUCACCCUUGACUGAUGGCU